rnacentral:rRNA from 1 species
AUUGAACGCUGGCGGCAUGCCUUACACAUGCAAGUCGAACGGUAACAGGUCUUCGGAUGCUGACGAGUGGCGAACGGGUGAGUAAUACAUCGGAACGUGCCCGAUCGUGGGGGAUAACGAAGCGAAAGCUUUGCUAAUACCGCAUAAGACCUACGGAUGAAAGCAGGGGACCGCAAGGCCUUGCGCGAACGGAGCGGCCGAUGGCAGAUUAGGUAGUUGGUGGAUAAAAGCUUACCAAGCCGACGAUCUGUAGCUGGUCUGAGAGGACGACCAGCCACACUGGGACUGAGACACGGCCCAGACUCCUACGGGAGGCAGCAGUGGGGAAUUUUGGACAAUGGGCGAAAGCCUGAUCCAGCCAUGCCGCGUGCAGGAUGAAGGCCUUCGGGUUGUAAACUGCUUUUGUACGGAACGAAAAGACUCUUUCUAAUAAAGAGGGUCCAUGACGGUACCGUAAGAAUAAGCACCGGCUAACUACGUGCCAGCAGCCGCCGUAA